rnacentral:rRNA from 1 species
CAGCUCCAAUAGCGUAUAUUAAAGUUGUUGCAGUUAAAAAGCUUGUAGUUGAAUUUCGGGAUUGGCGUGUCGGUCGUGCCUUAAGGGGUAUGAACUGGCGUCGUCGAUUUCUCACUUUCUGGAGAAACGCGAUGCCCUUAAUUAGGUGUCGUGCGGAACCAGGACCUUUACCUUGAAAAAAUUAGAGUGUUUAAAGCAGGCA